AGCAGCCGCGGUAAUUCCAGCUCCAAUAGCGUAUAUUAAAGUUGUUGCAGUUAAAAAGCUCGUAGUUGAAUUUCGGGAUCAAUAUAUCGGUCGUGCCUUCGGUACGUACUGGUAUCAUUGGUUUCUCCUUUCUGACGAACCAUGAUGUUAUUAAUUUGGUGUUAUGGGGAGUUAGGACUGUUACUUUGAAAAAUUAGAGUGUUUAAAGCAGGCUUUAGCUUGAAUACAUUAGCAUGGAAUAAUGAAAUAGGACGUUUGAUCCUAUUUCGUUGGUUUCUAGGAUCGACGUAAUGAUUAAUAGGGAUAGUUGGGGGCAUUAGUAUUCAAUUGUCAGAGGUGAAAUUCUUGGAUUUAUUGAAGACUAACUACUGCGUAAAAGCAAUUUGCCAAGGAUGUUUUCAUUAAUUCAAGAACGAAAGUUAGGGGAUCGAAGACGAUCAGAUACCGUCGUAGUCUUAACCAUAAACUA
rnacentral:rRNA from 1 species